CGCUCGAACAGCGUCAGCCUCCCACAAGUCCUCCGGCUGCAGCCAUUCAUUAGCCGACAGCAGCGCAGCGACACACCGCUAACAUGUCAGACAAGAAGCAGACCGUGGACCUGGGCUUACUAGAGGAGGACGAUGAGUUUGAAGAAUUCCCAGCUGAAGACUGGACGGGGCUGGAUGAGGAUGAAGAUGCUCAUGUCUGGGAAGACAACUGGGAUGAUGACAAUGUAGAGGACGAUUUUUCAAAUCAACUGAGGGCCGAGCUGGAAAAACAUGGUUACAAGAUGGAGACAUCAUAACGGCUGACGGGGCCUCUCAGUAACCGAUGACAUUGGAUAUGGACAUUUAUAUUUGAAUAUUAGUGGCUGACCACACAAACCACCGGAGGAGAUUUGUGGCUGUAAUUUGUUUCUCUCUUUUUUUUUUUGUAAGAAGUAUUGAUGGAAGUAAAGUGUUUGGAGAAAAACCUUC